rnacentral:rRNA from 1 species
AUUGAACGCUGGCGGCAGGCCUAACACAUGCAAGUCGAACGGUAACAGGAAGAAGCUUGCUUCUUUGCUGACGAGUGGCGGACGGGUGAGUAAUGUCUGGGAAACUGCCUGAUGGAGGGGGAUAACUACUGGAAACGGUAGCUAAUACCGCAUAACGUCGCAAGACCAAAGGGGGGGACCUUCGGGCCUCUUGCCAUCGGAUGUGCCCAGAUGGGAUUAGCUAGUAGGUGGGGUAACGGCUCACCUAGGCGACGAUCCCUAGCUGGUCUGAGAGGAUGACCAGCCACACUGGAACGGAGACACGGUCCAGACUCCUACGGGAGGCAGCAGUGGGGAAUAUUGCACAAUGGGCGCAAGCCUGAUGCAGCCAUGCCGCGUGUAUGAAGAAGGCCUUGGGGUUGUAAAGUACUUUCAGCGGGGAGGAAGGGAGUAAAGUUAAUACCUUUGCUCAUUGACGUUACCCGCAGAAGAAGCACCGGCUAACUCCGUG